rnacentral:rRNA from 1 species
AUUGAACGCUGGCGGCAGGCUUAACACAUGCAAGUCGAGCGGGGGAGGUUGCUUCGGUAACUGACCUAGCGGCGGACGGGUGAGUAAUGCUUAGGAAUCUGCCUAUUAGUGGGGGACAACAUUCCGAAAGGAAUGCUAAUACCGCAUACGACCUACGGGGGAAAGCAGGGGAUCUUCGGCCCUUACGCUAAUAGAUGAGCCUAAGUCGGAUUAGCUAGUUGGUGGGGUAAAGGCCUACCAAGGCGACGAUCUGUAGCGGGUCUGAGAGGAUGAUCCGCCACACUGGGACUGAGACACGGCCCAGACUCCUACGGGAGGCAGCAGUGGGGAAUAUUGGACAAUGGGCGGAAGCCUGAUCCAGCCAUGCCGCGUGUGUGAAGAAGGCCUUUUGGUUGUAAAGCACUUUAAGCGAGGAGGAGGCUCUUAAGGUUAAUACCCUUGAUGAGUGGACGUUACUCGCAGAAUAAGCACCGGCUAACUCUGUGCCAGCCGCCGCAGUAACAC